UACGUAGGAGGCAAGCGUUGUCCGGAAUUACUGGGCGUAAAGCGCGUGUAGGCGGUCUGAAUAGUCUGCUGUGAAAGCGCCUGGCUUAACCGGGCGAGGUCGGCGGAAACUCUCAGACUGGAGGCCGGUAGAGGGGGGUGGAAUUCCCGGUGUAGUGAUGAAAUGCGUAGAGAUCGGGAGGAACACCUGUGGCGAAGGCGGCCCCCUGGGCCGCGCCUGACGCUGAGACGCGAAGGCUAGGGGAGCGAACGGG
rnacentral:rRNA from 1 species